rnacentral:lncRNA from 1 species
UUUCUUUUGGCCACAUCUGUGGCAUAUGGAAGUUCCCAGGCUAGGGAGUCAUAUCGGAGCUGUAGCCACUGGCCAAUGCCACUGCCACAGCAACUGGGAAUCCGAGCUGUGUGUGGGACCUAUAUCACAGCUCACGGCAAUGCUGGAUCCUUAACUCUCUGAGUGAGGCCAAGGAUGGAAGCUGUGUUAUGCUAGUCAGAUUUGUUUCUGCUGAUCCAUGAUGGGAACUCCAUUCAGUUGCUUUUAUAUCUAUUUGACAGUUUAAACUUUAAUCUAAUCUGGUUAUAAUUCUAUCAUAGUAUCUUAUGUAAGUAAUUUUCUGACAAUUAGUUAAUGAAUUUAAUUAAAACCAAAUGUAGGCAAAAACUCAGUGACAAAACUAUUGGGACACUUGGUUUUCUUGAUUCAUUUUUUAGUUUUAAAACUAUUACGAAUUAAAAAAUAAAUUACAAUUUUAAAGGUACUAUUCAAUUUGUAUAAAUUAAAAAUUAAACUUAGCAACUGGAAUGUUUUACUUAAUGGUCCACAUUCCAUUUCACUUUUGUAAUGUUUUUACACAAGUAUAGACUCCAAGUCGUCACAGAGAAUGACAGAAUUAAAGAAACUCAGGUUCUGCUUCUUUUACAAUAGAUGGGCCGUCAUCAUUUAUUUUGAAUCUACUGUUUAAAUGAAAGACUGAAAGAUACCUUCAGCAUCCAAAGAGAGCUCAACUGAUUUCUGAACCAUUAUAAAGUUAUUUUAAAAUGAAAGCUUAUGCUGAGUCCAUACAUGUUAAAAGCUGACUGUACAACUGGGAAUUCUCCAAAUGAACCUCCCUGUAAAAAUACAAUAUUUAUUAAAGGAUAGGUAAUAAAAAUGUGCUAAUUGGAAGCUUAGAAACAUUAUUACCAAAACCUUACCGUAGCCAGAGAAUCUACUCAGAAUUCAGAUCAAUGACAGAUUGGAGGGAGGAGGAUUUUUGUCACAGACCUUGUUAAGAGCGAUAAUAAUGAAAAUCAGAUGUUUUAAAAUUUGCCGAGACUAUAUACACCCCUUUACUGCCUGCCCCUGAGGAAGACCUCACCCACCACUUGGUCCAUCCCUAGGUGGCAAUGAAUGUGAAAAAAAAGGAUACAUUCACAGCAGUAGGUGGAAAGGAAAGCACCCCUAGGCCCUGCUCUUAGAGAGUUUAUGCUGUAAGAUGGGGAGGGGAGGCACAUAACUCUGACUGUGAUGACCUGCUGCCUUUCCAACAGAGAGGGAUCUGGUGGAGAGGGAUCUGGUGAGAGUGAAGAGCGCAGAAUGUACUUUGACAAAGACUCUUUGGCCAAACUCUAGCCUGGCUCCUCUGAGCACUAUUCUGGAUCAGACCCAACCUUGGCCUGUAACAACUUGAACAAAACAUUAACAUGGUUUUUUAUAGCUCAGUGACCCGGGUCCCCCCUUAAAGUGCCUGCCUGAAGAGUUCCUGUUGUAGCUUAGUGGGUUAAGAACCAGGCUAUAUCCAUGACUACGCAGGUUUGAACCCUGGCCUUGUUCAGUGGGUCAGGGAUCCAGCAUUGCCCUGAGCUAUGGUGUAGGUUGCACAUGAGGCUCGGAUGCCAUGUUGCUGUGUCUGUGGUGUAGGUUGGAAACUGCAGCUCUAAUUGGACCCCUAGCCUGGGAACUUCCAUAUAGUGUAGGUUUGGGCCUAAAAAAGCAAAAUAAAUAAAUAAAUAAUUAAUUAAAAAAUAAAGAGCCUACCUGAGAGAACUCAUAGCGCCCUAAGACUGUUUUUUCCAACCAACACCUGAAAACAAGGCCUUUGUCUCCUGCCCUCUCUGGGCAGGUAGGAGCUAACUUCUAUAAGCCAGUUAAUAAACCCACUUGUGUUUCACAUGCACCAACCUCCUUUUCUUGUUUUUUACAGUUCUUCUCUUCCUUGCUCUGUUGAAUCCCUGCUCACUCCUCUCUUUAUUUCCUCAUUCUUCCUCGAAAAUAUCCAGUCACCACUAUGCAAAUCAAAGUUGAGGACAGUCUGCUCUCGGACUCUUUUCCCUAUCACAGUGACAUAUUACCAAAUAAGCUCCGUCCUUACCGUCAUAGCUAGUGUACGGUUUUGUUUAUCUUUGACAAGACUUACAAAUCAUUCAGAAUACAUUUUUGAACAAAAGUAGCCACAUGAAGCAGAGGCUCCACUGGGAUAAGAUCCGCAGGAAAAUUCUACCACAGAUAGUCCUUCAGAUGAAAUAUAUUUGACCGCUGAAUGUAGUUAGAAAUAGAAGUUGGAUCAGGCAGGAGACUGGUGAAAAUUGAAACCUUUUGUCCACUGGCAGGAACAAGCAAUAGAGAUGAAGAUUUUUAACCAAGGUCUUUGGAGUUGUCAGAACCAUCUGGAAAGGGAAACUUGCAGAAUGCACUAGGUUAAAGAUAAUUGCUAAAGCAUAGAUGUGCGAAUAAUUUGGAAAUUUUCAAAUAGCAAGAGUUACUAGAUCAAACAAAAGCUUCCUGUUUUCCCACAAGUUGUAUGUGAUGGGAUCAAAGGGCUAAGGCACUAAUGGGAAUUUUUAAAAAGUCAAACAGUAUAACACUGUUAUAUGCUAUUGUGUCAAGUUACAGCUCCACUACAUCAAUAAAUGUGGCUAUUUGACAGCAAGUCAUAUAUACACGAAGAGGCAUAGAUUUUCUGCUUAUUAAAUUCUGAUGUUAUAUCUGCUAAUCAGUCAUUCACUUAUUCUGCAAAAUAUAUGAUGCUGAUAGAAUGCCAGACUCUGAAGUUUGAAGGGGUCCCUGUCCUCUGACAGCUUAUGGACCAGUUUUAAUGGAGGAGGAAGUGAUCCAUUAGUCUUACUCAUCUGAUUUUGUGUACAUUCCUUGCCUUUCUGGGCUCCAAUCUGUGUCUGAGGAAAUCCCAACUUUUAGGCUGCAUUUCCAGGCUAAGCUUGAAUUUGGCUGCUUUGGGCCAAAGAGGGGCACUGAAAAGAGAAUGGCAGGUGAAGAAUUGGAGAACUCAAGGUAUCUAUCUCUUUGUCCUACUUAGGUAGCCUCUUUGGAAAUAGCUGCCUCUCCUCCACAGCUCCAAAUUCUGCUUGAGCAGUCCAGCUUCUGGUUUCUGGUAUGCCAGCUCAUAAGGACUGCAUCUGUGCAUCUCUUCCCUACUCUGUAUUUAAUGUUGAGUUGGUAACUUGAAACCAGCCAUGGUGGGAUAUUUACAUCAUAGAAAUUGACAAACAAGUUUUGAUAUUCCUCAGAGAGCAGGAUAUUAACCACUAACCAGUAUACCCCUGGUUCUAGUGAUGACAUAUCUUUGAGUUGUUCCUCAAUCUCUAGAGGUGGUAGUUAGCUUCCUGUCAUUCUUUCAGCUGCCUCAACUUCUCAAUUCUUGCUCUGUGUAGUUUAUUCCUUGUAUUAAAUCCCCUAUGCUGUAAUACCUGCUGGAAUUUCUCUCUUCCUAAUGGGAUACUGAUUGAUACAGCAGGGCAGCCAACCUGGACUUGGGUUCUCAGGGUAAGAUUCUCAGGAGAAAUGUAAUAUUCCUAUUUUUAAAAAACACAAUGAACAGAACUUGGCAAUAGAAUGAGAGGAUAAAGAAAUGACAUGAUUCAGCAUCCUGCCCAGAUUUUUGGUUUAGGAAUGUAGGUGGAUUAUGGUGCCAUUUGUUAAGAAAGGAAGCUGAGACAGAAACACAAGUUUGGGGUGGGGUGGAAAUGCUGAGUUUGAGAUACUGGUGGGAUACCCAAAGAUAGAUGUCCAGUGGGAUUCGACAGAAUCAGAACACAGACAAGAUAUCUUCUUUGGAAACACUCCUCCUUUUUCUUUUUCUUUCUUUUUUGGUCUUUUUAGGCCAUACCUAUGGCAUAUGAAAGUUCCCAGGCUGGGGGAUAAAUAAGAGCUGUGGCUGCCAGCUACACCAUAGCCAUAGCAAUGCAGGCUGAGCUGCAUCUGCGACUUACACUACAGCUCAUGGUGAUGUGGGACCUUAACACACUGAAUGGGGCCAGGCAUUUAACUGCAUCUUCAUGAAUACUAGCUGGGUUCAUUACUGCUGAACCACAAUGGGAACUCCAACCCCCCUCAUUUUUCUGAUCCCUCAGUUGCCUUGUUCAGUAGAUAAUUGCAUCUCUCAUCUGUAC